rnacentral:rRNA from 1 species
UACGUAGGGUGCGAGCGUUGUCCGGAUUUAUUGGGCGUAAAGGGCUCGUAGGCGGUUGAUCGCGUCGGAAGUGGAAACUUGAUGCUUAACGUUGAGCGUGCUUUCGAUACGGGUUGACUUGAGGAAGGUAGGGGAGAAUGGAAUUCCUGGUGGAGCGGUGGAAUGCGCAGAUAUCAGGAGGAACACCAGUGGCGAAGGCGGUUCUCUGGACCUUUCCUGACGCUGAGGAGCGAAAGCGUGGGGAGCGAACAGG